rnacentral:misc_RNA from 1 species
UCACCCCUCAAGCCCUGUGCUUGGUGUUGGACGGCUUGGUUGAGCGUGCUCGACCCCUCCUAAAGACAAUGACGGCGGCCUGUGGCGCCCCCGGUACACUGAGCUUUUAACUGAGCACGUAUCGGAUAAGGGUGCCCAGGACACGGUCCUCUCCCUCACGGGAAAUUAUCUAAA